rnacentral:rRNA from 1 species
CCUACGGGAGACAGCAGUGAGGAAUAUUGGUCAAUGGGCGAGAGCCUGAACCAGCCAAGUCGCGUGAAGGAUGACUGCCCUACGGGUUGUAAACUUCUUUUAUAUAGGAAUAAAGUGAGGAACGUGUGCCUUUUUGUAUGUACCUUAUGAAUAAGGAUCGGCUAACUCCGUGCCAGCAGCCGCGGUAAUACGGAGGAUGCGAGCGUUAUCCGGAUUUAUUGGGUUUAAAGGGAGCGUAGGUGGGUUGUUAAGUCAGUUGUGAAAGUUUGUGGCUCAACCGUAAAAUUGCAAUUGAUACUGGCAGUCUUGAGUACAGUUGAGGUAGGCGGAAUUCGUGGUGUAGCGGUGAAAUGCAUAGAUAUCACGAAGAACUCCGAUUGCGAAGGCAGCUUACUAAACUGUCACUGACACUGAUGCUCGAAAGCGUGGGGAGCAAACAGGAUUAGAUACCCUAGUAGUC